rnacentral:misc_RNA from 1 species
CGCACAUUGCGCCCGCCAGUAUUCUGGCGGGCAUGCCUGUCUGAGCGUCAUCUCAACCUUUCGUGACCAGCGUGCUGGACGCGGCGUUGGGGAUCGGCCACCCGCCCUGGGAGGCCGCCCCCUAAAUAGAGUGGCGGUCCCGCCGUGACCUCCUCUGCGCAGUAGCAAUAUCUCGCAGGCGGAGAGCGGUGUGACCUCGCCGUAAAACCCCCAAACUCUUCUUUGGUUGACCUCAGAUCAGGUAGGAAUACCCGCUGAACUUAA